CCUACGGGCGGCGGCAGUGAGGAAUAUUGGUCAAUGGCCGCAGGGCUGAACCAGCCAAGUCGCGUGAGGGAUGACGGUCCUAUGGAUUGUAAACCUCUUUUGUCAGGGAGCAAAGGGCGCCACGUGUGGCGCUUUGCGAGUACCUGAAGAACAAGCAUCGGCUAACUCCGUGCCAGCAGCCGCGGUAAUACGGAGGAUGCGAGCGUUAUCCGGAUUUAUUGGGUUUAAAGGGUGCGCAGGCGGAAUGUCAAGUCAGCGGUAAAAUUUCGGGGCUCAACCCCGUCGUGCCGUUGAAACUGGCGUUCUUGAGUGAGCGAGAAGUAUGCGGAAUGCGUGGUGUAGCGGUGAAAUGCAUAGAUAUCACGCAGAACUCCGAUUGCGAAGGCAGCAUACCGGCGCUCAACUGACGCUCAUGCACGAAAGCGUGGGUAUCGAACAGGAUUAGAUACCCCAGUAGUC
rnacentral:rRNA from 1 species